CAAUAGCGUAUAUUAAAGUUGUUGCAGUUAAAAAGCUCGUAGUUGGAUUUCGGGACGGGCCAGUUGGUCCGCCGCAAGGUGUGUUACUGACGGGUCUGUUCUUCUUCGCAAAGACUGCGUGUGCUCUUCGUUGAGUGUGCGUAGGAUUUACGACGUUUACUUUGAAAAAAUUAGAGUGUUCAAAGCAGGCUAUCGCUUGAAUACAUGAGCAUGGAAUAAUGGAAUAGGACUUUGGUCCUAUUUUGUUGGUUUCUAGGACCGAAGUAAUGAUUAAGAGGGACAAUUGGGGGCAUCCGUAUUUCGUUGUCAGAGGUGAAAUUCUUGGAUUUACGAAAGACGAACAACUGCGAAAGCACUUGCCAAGAGUGUUUUCAUUAA
rnacentral:rRNA from 1 species